ensembl:miRNA MIR7143 microRNA mir-7143
AAGCUCAGCUCUGAAGUGCAGAGGCUGUUUGCACUUCCUCUGCACUUGAAGCUGAGACUGA